AAAGGUGUAACCGUACUAGUUAGGGUUUAUUAUUUGUUUCGUAAAUAAAGUCUCAUAGAAGUAGAGAUACAGGUCAGCCAUGUUUGUGGAGAAAUUAUCUACAUAAAAUUACC